rnacentral:rRNA from 1 species
GACCCGUCUUGAAACACGGACCAAGAAGUCUAUCUUGCGCGCAAGCCAAUGGGACCGGUGCCACCUCCGGGUGGUGCCGCUCAAUCGAACACCCAUAGGCGAAGACAACUCGAAGACGUAUGUCACGGGAUUACGGGUUCGGCAUUGGCGCAAGCCUUCGUCGGAUCCCUCCAUCCCAGGGUGCCCCGAUACGGGUGGGAGCGGGCCUCCGGGCGUCGUUCUACCCAGCGGGCAUACCCCGAGUGUGCAGGAUGCGACCCGAAAGAUGGUGAACUAUGCCUGAUCAGGUUGAAGUCAGGGGAAACCCUGAUGGAGGACCGAAGCAAUUCUGACGUGCAAAUCGAUUGUCAGAGUUGGGCAUAGGGGCGAAAGACCAAUCGAACCAUCUAGUAGCUGGUUCCUUCCGA